AGACGUCGACCACCGCCACCAUCAUCGUUGCUGGUGUUGCACCUAAGAUGACGUAUGUAUUCUUUACUGCUUUCGAUGCAUACAACAAUUGUAUUAAUUGCUUUAAAUAACUGUAAUUAUUUAAAUUAAUUCAUAGUUUUAAGUUAACUUUGUAAAUAUGCAGAUUUGCUGAGGGAACUGAGACCAGCUUUGUUGCCGAAAGUGGAAAUGGAUGCAAGUGUGGAUCAAGCUGCAGCUGCGAUCCAUGCAACUGUUAAGCACAGAAUAUAUCUCGACCCAAAUAAGAACUUAUGUUUGAAUUGAACUGAUUUACUCUUUAUGUUGUUUUGUGUUUUCAUGUAAUAAAUAAAGAAGAAACCUAUGUGGUAUUAAGGUAUUUGGAUUUGUAAUGGAUUUCCAUCGUUAAUAUCUAUUCGUGUAAAGUCAACGCUUUGAAAAAUCACUUGUUUGGGUCUUAAUUUAUAAAAGCUUGAUGUAUAUUUGUAUGAAUGAGAUUGUAUGCUAUAAAAUUGAAAAGAUUGAUGUAUAAUUUAAUAAAUAUUGAUAUUGUUUGUUGUAAAAAUGAUGUUAUGGUUGUUGACUUUAAAGCUAGAAUACCUCAAUAACGUGUAAAGUGUGUAAACAAUAUAUAAUACAAAUUACUAAUUUCUCAUGACUAGACGAUUAUAAGUUUUGUGGAUUAAUGCAACUAAGAAUAUGUUUGGCGUAGCAGCUGAAAAGUUAGUCGUUAAAUAAAAAGUUGUUGGUGAUUUGUUUCACUAAUGUGAUUUAAGUGUAAUGAGAUUAUUUUUGUUGAUCAAAAGUGAUCUUGAUAAAUAUUAAACAAGUAAGGAAUGUGUGGAGUGCACACUUGUUUAAGUUUAUUCAAGAUUAAAAGUAGACUGUCAUUUAGGGGCGAAGCCCUUGAAUGAACGGGGGUCCGGGGGCAGCGCCCCUNGGAGCGGUCUCCAAGGGGUGGCAGCCGUGGGCGGGGUCCAAGGGGCAGAGCCCCUGGCUGGGAAUUGCUGUAUUGAAAAUGCAUCAGAAAUCCAAAUUUAGAAUAUUUGACCCGUUUUUGACUUGGUAUUAAUUCUUAUAGAAAACCCGGAUUUAUGACAGUUUGUUGACUGUUGCCAAACUGUUUUAUGACAGUUUUGACAGUUUUCAGACAAAGAAUGUAUUUAACCGAUUUUGGUCAGUUUUUUCUGGUACUUACGAAAAUUCAUAUAUUCAUUCUCUGUUCUUUUCUCUUCUGAGUCUUAUCUAAUCAAAGAUUAGGGAGUACCACUCAAUACUUUGAUUUGAUAGUGAAAUCACAAUUCUCAAAAUUUCCAAGGCUAUUUUAUCCUUAUUAUCUUACAAAAAUCAAAGUAUUCUGUGAUCAUGGCAAGUGGUGAUUCUGUGAAGGAAAUGACUAGUAAGUUUGAAAAACUGAACAAGUUUGAAGGGCAAGAUUUUCGUAGAUGGCAGAAGAAGAUGAAGUUUCUCCUUACCACUCUGAAAGUGGUGUAUGUUCUGAGUACACCCAUGCCAGUCUUACCAGAAUCUGUUGAAGAUGAACCUUUGGAGGCAACAAGAAGAAGAUCAAAGUGGGAAAAUGAUGACUAUAUAUGUCGUGGUCAUAUUCUCAAUGGUAUGUCUGACUCUCUUUUUGAUAUUUAUCAAAAUUUCGAAUCUGCAAAAGAACUGUGGGAUUCUCUUGAAUCCAAGUACAUGGCUGAAGAUGCUUCUAGUAAGAAGUUUCUUGUUAGUAACUUUAUGGGUUACAAGAUGAUUGACUCUAGGCCUGUUAUGGAACAAUUCCAUGAAAUGUUAAGGAUUUUGGGACAGUUUGCUCAACACAAUCUGAAAAUGGAUGAAGCCAUUUCUGUGGCUGUGAUCAUUGACAAACUGCCCCCUUCCUGGAAGGAUUUUAAACACAAUCUGAAACAUAACAAAGAGGAAUUGACUUUGACUCAACUUGGAAGCCAUUUAAGGAUUGAAGAGUCCAUAAGGACUCAAGAACUUGAUAACAAUCCUAAAGGCAAAAACCAAGUUGGUUCCUCUUCUGUGAACAUGGUGGAAGGAGAAAGUUCAAAGAAUCCCAAGAAGUCUAAUGGAAAAAGGAAGUUUAAAGGAAAGGAUGACAAGUCUUCCAACAAGAAGGCUAAGUUGGUUUGUUGGAAUUGUAACAAACCGGGUCACUUCAAGAAAGAUUGUCGUCUUCGCAAAGUGAACAAGGAUGGUGCUGGACCAAGUGGAUCCAAGGAUCCAGAAAAGCAACAAGGUCAGAUUUCUGUUUUCAUGCAGAAUUCUAAAUAUAUUCAGAAUUAUAUUUCUGUGAUUUCUGAAGCAUUUUAUGUGCAGGAUGAUAAAGUUGCAUGGUGGGUUGAUUCGGGAGCAACAAGUCAUGUUUGCAAAGAUCUAUAUUGGUUUAAGGACUUUCAACCAAUUGAAGAUGGAUCUGUUGUGAAGAUGGGAAAUGUUGCAACUGAACCAAUCAAGGGCAUAGGAUCUGUUUUACUUACUUUUACUUCUGGGAAAUGUUUGUGUUUGAACAAUGUUUUAUAUGUUCCAGGGAUUCGUAAGAAUCUCGUGUCUGAAAUUGUAUUAAAUAAUUGUGGUUACAAACAAGUGUUAGAAAGUGACAAGUAUAUCUUGUCAAGACAUGGUUCUUUUAUGGGAUUUGGCUAUAUAUGUAAUGGAAUGAUUAGGCUUAAUAUUAAUUAUCCUUCUAGUGAUAAUUCUGUUUGCAUGGCUUCUAGUAGUACUAGCAAUAAUUUUCAUAAAUCUGAAUUAUGGCAUGCUAGACUAGGACACAUUCAUUACAAGAGAUUAAAAGACAUGUCUAAAAUGAGUUUAAUUCCUGCUUUUGAUAUGCAAAAUAAUGAAAAAUGUAAAACAUGCAUGCUAACUAAAAUCACUAGACAACCUUUCAAAGAUGUUGUUAGGGAAAGCAAGGUGUUGGAUCUUAUACAUAGUGAUUUAUGUGAUUUCCAUGCAACACCUUCCCUUGGAAACAAGAAGUAUGUUGUUACUUUUAUUGAUGAUGCAUCUAGAUAUUGUUAUAUCUAUUUGCUACAUUCUAAGGAUGAAGCACUUGAUAAAUUUAAAAUUUAUAAACAACAAGUUGAGCUUCAUAAAAAUGAAUUAAUAAAAGUAUUGCGUACUGAUAGAGGUGGUGAGUAUUAUGAUCCAAUUUAUUUUGAAUCAACUGGAAUAAUACAUCAAACCACAGCUCCAUAUACACCACAACAAAAUGGUGUAGCUGAAAGGAAGAAUAGGACUUUGAAAGAAAUGGUUAAUUCCAUGUUGUCAUAUUCUGGUUUAAGUGAAGGGUUUUGGGGUGAGGCAAUGUUAACUGCAUGUUACAUGUUGAAUAGAACUCCAAAUAAAAGGAGUAAGAAUACUCCUUACGAACUUUGGUGUAAAAAGGUACCAAAUUUGAGUUAUCUCAAAGUUUGGGGUUGUAGAGCAGUUGUAAGGCUCACUGAACCCAAAAGGAAAACAUUGGGUGAGAGAGGUAUAGAUUGUAUCUUUAUUGGAUAUGCUGAGCAUUCCAAAGCAUAUAGAUUCUAUGUUUUAGAAUCUAAUGACUCUGUGUUUGUAAACACAAUGAUAGAGUCAAGAGAUGCUAUCUUUUAUGAAGAAAGAUUUACAUUUAUACCUAGACCAAGGGAUAUGAUUCAUCAAUCUUCUAGCAAGAGUACUACUCAAGCUGAAGAUGUUUCUGGUGGUGCAAGUUCUGUACCUGAACCUAGGAAAAGCACCAGAGCUAGAAAAGCUAAGUCUUUUGGAUCUGAUUUUCAACUAUAUUUAGUUGAAGGAACAAGGAAUGAGACUAUUUCUCAACAUCAAUAUUGUUUUAAUAUUGAAGAGGAUCUAAAGACUUUCAGUGAAGCUAUGGCUUCUAGGGAUGUUCAUUUCUGGAAAGAGGCAAUUCAUGAUGAGAUUGAUUCUAUCAUGCAUAACAAUACUUGGAUUUUGGCUGAUUUACCUCCUGGUUGUAAGGUAUUAUGAUGUAAAUGGAUCCUCAAAAGAAAAAUGAAGCCAGAUUAGUUAUUCAUUCAAAAGAAAAAUGAAGGUGGACAGCACAAUUGAUAAGUAUAAAGCCAGAUUAGUUAUCCAACGCUUUAGACAAAAGGAAGGCAUUGAUUUCUUUGAUACUUAUGCUCCUGUUGCCAGAAUUUCUACUAUUAGAUUAUUAUUAGCUCUUGCAGCUAUACAUAAUCUUGUGAUUCACCAAAUGGAUGUGAAAACUGCAUUCUUGAAUGGUGACUUGGAUGAGGAAAUAUACAUGAAACAACCUGAAGGGUUUGUUAUGCCUGGAAAUGAACACAAAGUGUUCAAGUUGAAGAAAUCAUUAUAUGGUUUGAAACAAGCACCAAAACAAUGGCAUCAAAAGUUUGAUGAUGUUGUCUUGUCUAAUGGUUUUGCAUUAAACCAAGCUGACAAGUGUGUAUAUAGCAAAUUUGAUACUUCUGGUAAAGGAGUCAUGAUUUGUUUAUAUGUAGAUGAUAUGUUGAUUUUUGGUACUGAUUUAGAAGAAGUUGAUAAAACCAAGAAAUUCUUAUCAUCUAGUUUUGAUAUGAAAGACAUGGGGGAGGCUGAGGUAAUUCUUGGUAUAAGAAUUAGAAAAGGAAACAAUGGGAUUUCAAUUUCUCAAUCACAUUAUAUUGAGAAGAUAUUGAAAAAGUUUAACUUUGAGAAUUGUUCUCCUGUUAGCACUCCUAUAGAUCCUAGUCUUAAGCUUCUACCUAAUAAAGGAUCUCCAGUGUCUCAACUUGAAUACUCAAGGGCUAUUGGUUGUCUAAUGUAUGCCAUGAUUAGUAUUAGGCCUGAUAUAGCAUAUGCUGUGGGAAGGCUUAGUAGAUAUACUAGUAAUCCUAGUUCACAUCAUUGGCAAGCUGUGAGUAGAGUAUUCAAGUACUUGAAAGGGACCAUGAAUUAUGGUUUAACUUAUAGUGGAUAUCCUUCUGUUUUGGAAGGUUAUUCAGAUGCCAGCUGGAUUAACAACUUAGAGGAUCACUCCUCUACAAGUGGUUGGGUGUUUCUUCUUGGAGGAGGUGCCAUUUCUUGGGCAUCUAAGAAACAGACUUGUAUUACUAACUCAACCAUGGAGUCUGAGUUUGUUGCAUUGUCUGCUGCUGGUAAAGAAGCUGAGUGGCUAAGGAAUUUGAUUUAUGAAAUUCCAUUAUGGCCCAAACCGAUAUCUACCAUUUCUAUCAGAUGUGAUAGUGCUGCAACAUUGGCUAAGGCUUAUAGUCAAGUGUACAAUGGAAAGUCUAGACAUUUAGGUGUUAGACAUAGCAUGAUUCGUGAGCUCAUCAUGACUGGUGUGAUAUCUGUGGAGUUUGUAAGAACUCAGUUGAAUUUAGCCGAUCAUCUAACCAAAGGGUUAGCAAGAGAUCUUGUGCACAAGGCGGCUGUAGGGAUGGGUUUAAAGUCCACUUAAAUCUUUUAUAUUGAGAUACCCAAUUCCCAUCUAAUGCAAUAUUAGAUGUUGAAUUCAAUGUGGAAAGCUUGAUAUUUGAAGAUUGGAACACAUUUUAUUAUCAUCCCAAGGUAUGUGUUCAGUACUGCAAGUUAAGGAGGUUGAAAUUUUAUUUCUUAAUAGUUCUUUGAAAAAUUGCAUUUGCAGGUGCAAGAACAAAAGAACUACCUAUAUAAGCAUGAAGUUUAGCUGCUUCAAGAAGUUGGGACUUGACUUUGAUAUGCUUAUUGAAGGAUGGGACACAAGCUAGUAAAAUAUAGUGUCAAGUUAGAACUUAGAGAAUGUAAAUUGUUGUGUAUAUUAUCUUCAUGUAUUCACUUAGAAUAGAAAGGGUUCAAUCCUUAGUGACACCCUGAUAUUCGAAUAUUUGGAAUGAAUAAUAUACUAAUGUGAAAUUCAAUCGUCACGAUAUUUCAUUUAUGCAUCAGUUUGUUGUUAUGUUUUUGUUUUAAAUUAAUCAAGAUUACACUUAAAUGGGGGAGGUUUGUUGGUGAUUUGUUUCACUAAUGUGAUUUAAGUGUAAUGGGAUUACUUUUGUUGACCAAAAGUGAUCUUGAUAAAUAUUAAACAAGUAAGGAAGGUGUGGAGUGCACACUUGUUUAAGUUUAUUCAAGAUUAAAAGUAGACUGUCAUUUAGGGGCGAAGCCCCUGAACGAACGGGGGUCCGGGGGCAGCGCCCCUGGAAGUGGGGUCCAAGGGGCGGCAGCCCCUGGCGGGGUCCAAGGGGCAGAGCCCCUGGCUGGGAAUUGCUGUAUUGAAAAUGCAUCAGAAAUCCAAAUUUAGGAUAUUUGACCCGUUUUUGACUUGGUAUUAAUUCUUAUAGAAACCCGGAUUUAUGACAGUUUGUUGACUGUUGCCAAACUGUUUUAUGACAGUUUUGGCAGUUUUCAGACAAAGAAGGUAUUUAACCGAUUUUGGUCAGUUUUUUUUUAUACUUACGAAAAUUCAUAUAUUCAUUCUCUGUUCUUUUCUCUUCUGAGUCUUAUCCAAUCAAAGAUUAGGGAGUACCACCCAAUACUUUGAUUUGAUAGUGAAAUCACAAUUCUCAGAAUUUUCAAGGCUAUUUUAUCCUUAUUAUCUUACAAAAGUUAGCUAACAGCUGAAAAACUAACUGGUAAAACUAGCUGAAAAACAAGUUGAAAACAUGAAAUUACAUAAAAGGACAUUUAAAAGAAUGUGUUUUUAUAAUUAAUUAAGAGAUAUAUUUGAAAAAUAAAAAAAAUAAAAAAUUAAAAAAAUUAAAAAAAAAUAAAUAAAAAAAAACUCUUAAAAAGUAGUCUAACUAGCUUUUUAAAAUGCUAGCUUAUAAGUUACUUUUUAGCUUGCUCAACACAACAACUUAAAGAAGCUCGAAAAAUAAACUCCUUUUAUUUUUUAAAACUGGGACAAAAAAUGUAUAUACUACAAAUUUCUUUUCCAUUUUUAUAAGUAAAUGAUAAAUUUGAAAAUCAAAGACGAGAGUAACAAACAUGUCUGAGUCUUGCCCAAACUAAAAGCAUUUAAACUAGUAUGAUCAUUUUGUUACGUCUAUAAUCUACCUUACAAGCUUUCUUGUAAUUACAAAGUUUGACUCUUUACUCAUAUGAAUAGUUGGUAGGAAUAUAUGUCAAAAAUAAUGAAAAAUAAGUUAAGUUUUUUAACGAUGGAAAUUUUUAUAAAUAAUCGACGAAAAAACCAAGACACUUUCUUGAUCAAUAAGCUUUUAUUGCCGUUAAUUUGCAUCUUCAUAUAUAAUAUCAAUUGUUUUAAAUUACUUAUUAAAUUAGAUGUUCAUGUUCAAACUUUGGAAAUUUUGAGGAAAAAAAAUGUUGUGUUACUGUUGGCGGAGAUAUGUUUAUUUUUCUCGGUUUUAUCUAAAAUUUCAUUCAAUAGAGUUUGAGAUUUACAAACCGAUCAAAUACGUACUAACCAAGCUUGCCUUAUCGAAUUUGCAUUANNNNNNNNNNNNNNNNNNNNNNNNNNNNNNNNNNNNNNNNNNUAUAUAUAUAGAGAGAGAGAGAGAGAGAGAGAGAAUUUGAACCCAUCCUUUCUUGUUGUUUUUUUUGGCGUAUUAGUUAUGACAAUUGAUAAAACCAGUAUAACAUAUCACAAUUUCCAAAAACAUUAAAAGUUAAAAAGAAAUGAAUAUUGAGUGAUUUAUCAAAAAUUGUUGAGAAGAGUUUAGGGACUAUUUUUGUAAGUUAGAUAAUUUUUGAAUAAUCCAUAAGAAUAUAAAGACUGUUACAUAGACCAAAUUUUAUAUAAAUGACAAUGAUAUAAAAGCAAAGAUUAAAAAUGACAACAACUAAAACACAAAGCUUAAAGUUUGGCAAAAAAAAACUCACGUAAACACACACAAAAUUUAUAUGGAAAUGUAAAUAAACUCGAUUUACACCGACACGUACAUAAAAAAUAUGUAAGUAAUAUUUUAUAUUUUGUUAAUUAACGAAAGAAAAUUCAAAUAACAAAAAUUGUAUUAUAUAUGACCCGAGUUAUAGGUAGGAAACAUAUAUAAAAAUAAAUACCAAAACAUUAAAAAAAUUAAGUUGAAACGUAGACAAACUUGAAUUUGAAUUUAUUCAAACAUUGACCACCUUUAAUUUACACCGACACAUAUAUAACAAAAGCAAAUAAAAAAUUGGUUUUUGUAAGUUAACGAACGAAAGUUAUUAAUGAAAAUCAGAUUAUAUAUAUAUAUAUUAUGGGGGAUCAUCAACACGAAAGUUUAGAAAAUGAAAGUGGUAAAAAUGAUAUUUUAUAAAGUUCAACGUUGAGGGGUUGAAAGUAACAUUUUAAAAAACGGAGGGGUUGAAAAUUCAUUUUACAAAAUAGAAAAAAUUGGAUUAUAUAAGUUAGAGGGAUUAAACUUGAACAUCAAACAUUAACGUAUAAAAUUCAAAGUUAAGAGGGUGAAAAUAAUAUUUUAAAAUAUAUAGGAGUAGAAAAUGCAUUUUACAAAGUAGAGAAAGUUGAUGGAUGAAAGUAACAUUUAAAAAAUAGAAGGUUGCAGAUGGAUUACAAAAAGUUGAGGAAUUAAACUUGAAUUCACGCCGUUCAGAUACUUGUAAAUUGUGCAUAAAUAUGAGUGUGUUUGACACGUAGUGUUUGAGAGUUUCUAGCUUCUAGCAUUUAACAAAACGCUUCAUUUUAAACAAAUAACCUUGUUAACACUAAAAGCUUUUAACGUUUAGUUUAAAUAAAAUGUUUCAAAUCCAAAUGCUACUUCACGUAGCGUUUAACAAAACGUUACAUGCUACCAGUUAUUCGCCACCUGGUAGAAGCUACCCAUUACCAACUACUUUUGCCGAACACACAUUAUAUAUAGUAUUAGCUACCGUAGAACACACUCACAUGCACAAACUUAUAUUUUGUAUAUAUUUGUAAUUUCUUAAGAAGCAUAUAUCAUUUCUAAUGAACAAUCAUCAAUCAAUUUUUGCAUACACAAUUUAAUUUCUUUAAGUGGUUAAAAGUUGUAAAUAAAAACUCACUUAUAUUUACUUAUAUCUUCAACGUCAAUAUAUUAUUAAAAAACUAGCAAUGUUAGUAAAUAAACAUUACAUAAUAGAAAUAAUAGGACUAGAAACCAACCAAAAUAUUUCAAAUUAUAUUUUCUACUCCUAUAAUUAAAGAUCCAAAAAAAAUGUCUAGGAGACAAUAUUGCCAAAGAUAUCCGACUUUAAGAUUUAAAUUUUCUUUGCAUCACACCCAAAUUAGAUAAAUUUCCCAAGUUAUCGAACCUUUGAAGUGUUGCAGGAUGAAACAUGAAUAUUCAUUGCUAAAAAACACUCUGAAAAACAAAUAACAAUAAUUAGAUUCAAAUCUCAUACAUGUUAGCAAGUUACAAGUACAAGUCUCAUAUAUGUAUUGUAUGUUUGUACGUCCGCGUGUGUGUUUUAUGGUGUUAUCUUUAAGGUCGUAUUAGGUGGAAUUUGAAUGAAACAUUCCUUCAGUGACGUGCUUUGUUUGUUGGCUAAAUCGCUUGAAUUGACUUUUGUUUAAAUUUCAUUUAAAUUUAUGCUAAAAUGUAAUUAUUAUUCUUAAAAUAUGACCAAAGAAUCUAAAUAUUUGUACUAUAUUAAAGGGAUUUGUGUCAAAGNNNNNNNNNNNNNNNNNNNNNNNNNNNNNNNNNNNNNNNNNNNNNNNNNNNNNNNNNNNNCGUGUUUAUAAGAUAUACAAUGAAAAUAGAUUGAUAAAAAUGAUGUAUGGAAUAAGAAAUUUUUAAUAAUACAAAACUAAAAUAUGAUGAAAUGUAACUGCCCAAAAAUCCAGAUAAAUUUUUUUCAUUUUUAAAAAAGGAAUUACAAUCAUAGUUUAUUUCUCAAAAUCCAUUACAUCAUAUCAUAUCCAAAAUAUCAGAGUAUCAAUAUCGAUAAAUGCAGAAAGUGUUGGGAGUGAAUGUUGUGCCAUCAAGUCGGACCCUUCCCUAUAGUACCGGAAGUACCUGAAAACACUCAAAUAAACUGUAAGUCAAAGCUUAGUGAGUUCCCAAAAUAUAACAUAACAUACAACCAUAGAACACAUGUCACAUACAUAAGAUUGCCAUGGGCUACACCCAUGGUUUUUACUUGAAAUGUCAUGAGCUACCCCCAUGGUCUGACAUCCAAGUGGCAUGGGCUACCCCCACGGUCUUUACCUAGAAGGUCAUGGGCUACCCCCACGGUCUAAUAUCCAAGUGUCAUGGGCUACCUCCAUGGUCUUCACACAAGUGCCACGGGGUACCCCCGAGGUCUUCAGACGAAUAAUUGCAUAACAACUGUCAAUCCACAUGUUAAAUAAUGGGUCGACAUUGGUACCUUCUACCCAUUGAUAUUGUGAAAAGAUUUACCUCAUACUGCUGAUAAAAAUAUUGCUCGGCUACUGGUCCGAAAAUCUCACAUUGAAUAUACACAAGUUAACCUAAUUAGAAUUUAGUCACAAACUCAAAGCAUAGGCGAAAACUCUAAGUCCAAACUCCUCCAAUAAGGCCCAACAGUCUUUCUCCUCUAAUGGGCCUAACAUCCAUGGUCCAAAAUUAUAAUGGGCCAUAAGGCCCAAAAAGACCCAACCAUGCCACCUAUGGUCCAAUAACAAGUUCAAAGGCCCAAAUACUCUAAUAGAUCCAACCCAAUGCUAAGUAGGGCCCAAAUGGCUCAAAAGCCCACCGAAAGCCUAAAACUCACUAGAAGCGUAUACCCAACGUACAUCAUCAGUACACUUAGCGUACUGGGUUCUUUGGCGAUACACGCAACGUACAAACUAGUAUGCCCAACAUACAAGCUGCUUUGCUUAAAGAGCCAUUAAGUGCUUAAUUCAUGUGUCCAAAUCCAAAUCUUGUUCAUUUUAAAGGUCCUAUGGCAUAAAUUAGGCAACUUUAUGACUUUGCAUGCCAUGUGGGAACCCAACACCUCAUUUUAUCCAUUAAGACUCCCUUUAAGACCUUAAACUCAUGCAUGGUACCAAAACAACCAUCAAGCUAGCAUUUUUAUGCUUUUAAUAGGCCAAAGGAACUCAGAUCUAACAUUUCUAACCCCUGGAGUUGCUCAAACUCACAAGAGAGGAUCCAUGUGUUGGAUUAGUGUCUAAGUCCAUAACUAUUUUGGUAUGUACUUGACCCGAUUAUGAACAUUGUCCUUUUAGGUUGCCUUCACCAUAGCAAUAUGUAGGAUGAAUUAAGGAGAGAAAGGUUUAAUUAUGAUUUAUUAAUAUAUUAUGAGAAUAAUAUAUUAAAGAAGAAAUCAUAUUGUUUAAUUAAUAUUAGUUAAGAAUUAAUAAAGAAUUAAUUUUUUGGCUAAAAGAGAUUAAUUAAACUUAGGGGGACUGGAAUUGGAAUUAUAAGAUAAUUGCAAUUGGACUAUGGAUCACCUUGGAAUAAUAGGUUAGACGAAUUCUAUGGGGAAGCCCAUUAGAAAUCGUCCAAGGCAUGUUCCAGAAGGGGUCCAUGGGCUGCUUAGGGCUUAAGCAGUCAAAUUACGGUUUCCUUGUUAGAUAACCUUAAUUGCCUACCUAUUUAAAGAACGCUUGAGACCCAAAAACGUGGCUAAGUGCUCCUUUAGGGUUUCCAGCCGUUUUUGGUGCCUCCUCCCUUCUCUUCUUCAUCCAAUUACUUAGUGUUGUUUGUGACUCCAUUAGAGGUGCAACAGUUGAGGCACUAAGCUUUCUAAAGCCAAGGAUUGAUUGUUAUUGCUAUAUAACAAUCAAAGGUAAGAUCUAAACCCUAAUUUCAGUUAUAGUUUAUUAGAUCUAGGGUUUAUAGCCUUGGAUAUUCAAUUGUAUGUUCAUUAGAGAAACUAGAUCCAAAGCUAUUAGGGUUUGCAUGUACACCAUAUGAUUGAUGUAUUGCUCAAAACCAAUCAGUGGUAUAAGAGCCUAGGGCUGUUUGUUUGAUGUAUUUGAUGCUUUAUUUGAUUAUUCAUGCUUAAAAUCGAAAAUUUGAGUUUCUGGGCGCUUGACUCGCCGAGUCCAUUAUGAACUCGACGAGUCCAGUGCUGGCUCGACGAGUCUGAGACGCAGAAUGCUGUUUUUGCAGGAUUUUGACCUGUUUUGGCUGUAGAUAAUUACCUAAAAUGUUUUUUGUCAAUAAAAUCCGAAUUUUAUCCAUAUUGGGUGAAUAUUCUUACCAAAAUAGAAGAUAAUUGUCAAAAUUUAGAUAAUCAUUUGUUUUAUUAGAUAAAGAUUGAUUAUUUGUAAUUUAGAUUUGAAUUAUCUUGUAAAUUAUCUUGAUUAUGUCAAAUUUAGAUAAUUAUUAAAUUAAUUAUCUAAUUUUAAAUUAUUUGCAAUUUGAUCUUGUGUGUUUUGAAUAGUUUCAAAACUUGCCCUCAAGUUUUGGAAUUUAAAAUUUUGAUUAAUAGUUUAAUUAUGUAAUAUAAUUUUAAAACUCUAGUAUUUUGAAAAGUUCAAAUUACACCCUAAUGGUUUUGUUAAGUUAAUUAAAAGAGAAAGUCAUUAAAACCACCUAGUAUUUUAAAAGUGUAAAAUACACCCUAUACUAUAUAUAUGUAACAUUCACUACAAGAAAAAUAGCCUUUAAUGACACGCAAACAAUGACACUCGCUGAUUCACGUUAGCAUUUUUGGNUGACACUCGCUGAUUCACGUUACGCAUUUUUGGGCGUCCUUAAAAAUAAUGUCAGACUUCCAAAAUUUGAAGGAUAGAGGAUACGCAUUUUUGCGUGCCCUUAAAUUUGUGUCUCAAGAAAAAAAAUUAAAACACGGAGAGCACUUUAUCUUAAACUUGCGUCUUCUGUAGAUGUCGCUUUAUAAUUUUAGUGAAACGCACUUGAGAAGAUAACGGGGGAAAACGAAACCCAAAAUUUUUGAAAACCCGCCUUUCUUUUCUACCUUCUUUUCUUCAUCUUCACAAUCGACUCUCCCCUCUUGUUUCUCUAUUGUGAGAAGUGACGGAAAGAAGGGAGACUAGGAUGGAUCUGCCGGUGAUGAUGAACGGAGGUGUUUUCCGGUCCAUUUUGGAGAUGGCGUUGUCGAUUUCUAUGGGUUUUUUCCCUCUUUCCCUAAUCACGUAGUAGCCGUGAAUCACACACCGCCAGGCAGUGAAAGAAGAUGAUGAAGUUUGUCGUUGUCGUAUGCCUCCCUCCCUCGCUAACUAUCUCUGCCCAUUCUUUAGGGCUUAUUUCUUCUCUGGGACGAAUUUGAUUCUUUUUCUGAUUUGGGAACCAAAACAUGCGAGAUUAAUGAAUUUAUUGGUGAUAAUUAAUGGGAUGAUGAUUCCUUAACCUAUGAACAUGAAAAUAAGGUAGAAGUUUCUUCUCUUUCGUCUCUAUCUCAGCUGAGAUAGAAACAAAAUGCUUAUUUUAAUCAAUUUUACUCUUCCAAAGCUAAUUGUAUUCAUGCGGUUAAAUUCAUUCAUAUUCCUCAUUGACCUUCAUAUGUUCAUUACUACCCUAAUUUUGGCUUCUGAUGAGUCUUUGAAUCCAUAUGCAGGAUUCUACGGGGAAAAUCACCUAGGUUCUCAGGUACAACUCCAUUGGACUAAUUCGGACCAAAUCAAACCCCUAAAACUGCCUUUUGACAUGUUAAUCAUUGUCGAUGUGGUGUACAUAGAGGAAUAUCUAGCACCUUUACUGGGGGCGGCGAAGUCAAUGGUUACUGAUAUAGGGGUUGUGCUAUUAGGGUGUUAAGUUAGGUCGCCUGAAAUGGGUAGAAUAUCUGAAAGAGGUUUCUACUCGUUCUCAAAUUCUUUCCCUAUUCUUAAUAAGAAAUUUACAAUCGAUGUCAAGCUUUCUACUCUUUCUGAAAUUCAUAAAAUUAUUUGUUAUCUUAUCACUUUACGUUUUUCCUUAUUCCUUGGUUUCCCCAUUUUUGAUUGAUUGUACUAUUAUCUACUGUAGUUGUAGAUUUCAACUAAAAAAUAUUCAAAAUUGUUUUUUUUUAUUUUGUGUUUAUUAUAUUUUUCUAAUACUAUCCAAAGGACAAAGGACAUAUGAUGGUUCGUUAUUAUGCACAUUUCAUGAAAGAAGACAAUUUUUCUCACACCCACCACCUGUUUGUUUUAUUGCUUCUUCCAAUUUUGUUGAUAGGAAAGUAUGAUGGAUAUAGUCAUUUGUAGCCAUGAUAACAAUUUUUUGGGGGAGUUGUGACUUGCAUUAACUUUUCUCUUUGCAUCCAAAUUGUGCAUUUACACUUCAAUUAACACUAUUUGGUUAUUGCUACUAAAAUUAGGUCUAUGGAACCAUAAUGCAUGCAUGGAUCUCCUCCCGCCAUUCAAUCCUAUUCCUAAAUUAGUCAUCAUAAAGAGUGUUGUCUUUUUGACAUAUUGGCAGGUAACAAGCCACUUCUUGGUGAGCUGAACUGAAUUUUCACUGCAGUUAUAGACACAGUAGACUGGAAUGUGCUUCUACAUGGUAUUAUUGAUAGAGAACGUUUUCUUUUUUUUUUUUUCCUUUUUUUCACUAUGGUUCUUUACUUUGGUGAUUGAAAUCAGUACAUGAUUAUAUCUUUUUGCAGAUUUGUUUCAGAGAUUAUUCAGCCAAGAUCUUUUAGUUGCGAGUUUGUUUCGGAACUUUUUACUUGCAGAGAUAAUUAUGCGUUCUGCAAAUUGUUCUCGUGUAUCUUAUCCGAUGUUGCCUCCAACUCAUCAACACCAUAUGUGGUAAUAAACACAUCAACUUGCUUAUGAUGUUAUAAUUCUUGAAUCUUGAUUAUUUUGGUUAUGGUUUGACCACGUGUCAUUACAAGGAUGCAUGGGAUAUUGUUACUGAAAUCUGCCUUUCUCAACUUCCAACAUUGCUCGAGGAUCCCAAUGCAGAAUUCUAGGUCUGAGAUUAAACUGAUAUUUUCUAGUUACUUCUUCAAAUGCUUUCUUGAUAAAGUUAUUGAUUAAUUGUUGAUGUGGCAUUAAUAUUUUACAACCAAGUCCUCUUUUCAUUGAGUAAUUGACUGCGUUUGAGGUGUGGCUGGAUCAUGGGUCUGAACAUAAGAAACCACCUGAGCAGUUGCCUAUUGUUUUCCAGGUUUUACUCAAUCAAUGCCAUAGGUUUCGUGCACCUGUGCUUCUUGGAAGAUUUAUUGAUAUGGGUCCAUUGGUUGUUGAUUUGGUAGGUUAUUUUAGGUUUUUACCUUUUUACAGUUUUACUCAAUCUGCAUCACUUGUUACAUGUUUCUAAUGGUAUGCUAUAUUGAAUUAGGCCUUGUCAGUGGGAAUAUUUCCAUAUGUUCUGAAGCUAUUGCAAACAACCACACCUAGGGAUGCAAACGGGGGCGAAUAUUGGUGGAUACUGUAAUCCCCGUCCCCGAACCCGACCUCCGAUCUCCACACCCAUCCCUGACCCCAACCCGCCAAAUGCCCAACGGUUACAGGUGAAAUAAUCCCCACUGGGUUCUGGGAACCCGAUGGGUACCCGUUUAGCAAUAAAGUUAUGUUUUUAAAAAGGAUAUGAAAAUAUAAAACAUAAAAAUAAUUACAAAAUUUAUUUAAUUCUCCAUAUAUUAAAUAUCAAAUUGUUUUAAAAUAUUGAAAUAUAAAGAUGUUUAAUAAAUAAACAACUGUGUUUUUAACAUGGAUUCUUGAGUAAAAGUUUUGACCCACCACUUUGCUAUUUAAAGUUUCCAUAUUCUUAUUUGUUGGAACUUUUGCUAUUUAACGUUGACGUAUUCUUAUUUGUUGGAGCUUUCCUAUUUAAAUCUUUUGUAUUCUUAAUCGAAGAGGCACACUCUUAAUCGAAGAGGCAUGCACAUGCUAAUCUGUUCAAUGCACUAUACCUCGGUAACUUAAAUAUGUAUUUAAUAAAAGUCGAUUUUUGUUAAGUUUAGUGUGUGUGUGUGUGUAUAUAUAUAUAUAUAUAUAUAUAUCGAGUCUUAAAUGGGGCAGACAGUAGUAUAUCCGUCCCCGCCCCGUCCUCGUUUCGGGUAAGAAAUUGAAACCCCAUCCCCAAACCGUUACCCGAUAAUACGGGGAAUACCCGAUCCGUUCGGGUCAAAUCCCCACGGGUAGCGGGUAAUACCUGAUCCGCUUGCAUCUCUAACCACACCUGAACUUCGACAAAUUCUUGUGUUCAUCUGGACAAAGAUCCUUGCACUUGACAAGGUAUGACUAUGUCUUCCCUUUUGUUACCUUUUCUCUAGCAUGAUAUUGAUAGCCUUGACUGAUGUUGACGUUUUUGAAUCUACAGUAAUGUCAAGUUGAUUUGGUGAAGGAUUGUGUUAUGAUAAAUACUAGGAUCAUUGAGUGGUGGUAGAGUAGUAUGCCUGGGUUUUUUCUUGUUUUUCUAAAAGAUUUCAGAGGGGCAGGACCAAAUGUGGAAGUAUGGUUCUUAAUGCAGUUUAAAUAAGGGUCAUUGAAGUUCUUUUUUUUAGGUCUAGGUUGGAAAAUGUGUCUCGACUUUAUGAAUUUUGUGCAGAAGUUUUAGAGUGUUUUAUGUUAUAAAGUACAAAAGCUUGUUGUCAACGAGAAUAGAAACUGCAUUUAGAACUGUACUUCCAUAUUUGGUCCGGUGAGAAUACAAAGAGUUCACAUUGGGUUUAUCUAUCACAUCCAACCAUGAAAGAAUACAAAAGUCUUUACCAACUGGACAUCUUCAUGCCACUACACUUGCAGAUUAUCUUGUUCACAAGGCAGGUUGAUUUAUAUUUUAUAUAUCACAUCAACCCUAUUACUGUGUUUUUUAUGAGAAUUGAGUAAUAUUAACAGUUUUCUUUGCAGGGAUACAGACCCUAUUAAUUGCAUUUCAAAUCUUUACAUAAACGCUAUUAAUUGCAUUUCAAAUCUUUACAUGUUUCUGAUAUGUUUCUUCAAAUGACAGGAUGCAAGCAAUGAGCUACGAAAUUCCUCAUGUGCAAAGAAGAUGGUGAGCUAAUAGUCUUACAUUCAUAUGUUUUUUUUAAAAAAAUUUAUAAUUCAUAUUGUAGUGUAUUUAUUCCAAAAAUGGUUUUUGCUAUCACUAUACCUUACAAGUUUUGACAAGUCAAGUAUAUCUAUUUUUUGUAACCGAAUCAACAAUGCAGUAAAGACCCUUUUACCCUUCACUCAUCAUAUGCCUCUCACAGUUGAAUAUCUCAAGACUACUUCACUUUCACCAAUAAAAGAUUACGAAACAAACAGGUAACUUAGCAAUUAACAUUAAGCCUUAUAUGGUACCAAAUAAUUAAUUAAUUUUAUGGAUUUUUUUACUAGUCCAACUAUUAAUGAUUAUCUUGUGGAUCAGGUAACUAACCAUAUGAUAUUCUUCUUUUUCCAUGCAUGGUGAAAUCCUCAUUCUAUACUUACUAUAUAAGCAAAGAAUGUAUGUUAUAUUUUUCAUAUGAAUAAUGAAGACUACAACAUGAGUUUGGAUGCAUAAAGAAGUACUUUUUCUUCUCUCUCUCUUACUUUUGCUUCUAACUUGUGUGUAACCCUUUCCUUGUAUGUAGAUGACACAUUGGUGUAAGAAACAUCCGCUCACCCUUUUGGUAAUUGGCUGGUCCUUAAAUGGGAAACUUGAUUCUGGAACUCUCAGUCUACCAACAUUAGAGUUUAAUUGGGUGAUUGAAGGUGAUUUUGGUUCUUGAAAUGAGACUCAAGAUAUCAUAUUUUGGCAUGGCUAGAAGCUUAGGAGGAAAUGAGACUCAAGCAAAAGUAAACACACAGAGAGUUGUUGGCACAUAGUAAGCUAGAUGAUGCAAUUGUAUAUAAAUGAGUUCAUUCUUUUAUAACAUGAUUUAGUCACUUUUGGAAUAAUUAUUUGUAUUUGACAUAUUAGUGAAAUGAAUUAUCUUUGUUAUUUAUGGUAUUUUAUUUUUUAUUAUGAGAUUUUUAAUGUACUAUUUAAUUUGAAAAUUAGUAAACCUAUAAAUAAUAUUUUUUUUAAACAUUUAAAAUUAUGAUACGCAAAAAUGCGUGUCUUCUUCAUUUAUGACAUGGCCUUUCUUAACAGAGGAUUUCUUGAUACGCAUUGCGUGUCAUUAACACGCGCAUCGUAAGCUUACGACAUGCGGAAGCGUGUCGUCUUCCUUUAUGACAUGGCCUUCCUUGAUACGCAUUGCGUGUCCUAAACGUGCGUCAUAAUUGCGCGUUGUAAAUGAGCGUCGUAAAUGCGUGUCGUCUCUCUUUAUGACAGGGCCUUCCUUGACGCGCAUUUGCGCGUCGUCUGAGCCUUUUACGACGCGCAAUGAGCGUCGUAAAAGGCUGUUUUUCUAGUAGUGANNNNNNNNNNNNNNNNNNNNNNNNNNNNNNNNNNNNNNNNNNNNNNNNNNNNNNNNNNNNNNNNNNNNNNNNNNNUUAUAUAUGUAUGAGUAAACAGUCAGUCUUACCGUUAGUAGGCCUCAUUCACGAAGCUGGUCUAUAAGGGGUGUUUAAGGAAAUUGCCUAUAAAAUGGCGAUUGAAUGGGUAUCUACUCUUACCCACCGCACUCUUGACUAAUGGAGGGUCGUUAGCCGAACGGGUAGGAUAGGACAGAAACCUUCCAUUAUAAGUAUAAUGAAGUACAAAGUAACUAAAUAUAUUUUUUUUAAAAUUCCCAAAUCAUAGUUACUCUAGGAAAAAUGUGAAAUCGUAUGCUAAUCCAUGGAAUGACACUUUGUACCCCUGCCGAGACGUUAGUGGAGCGUGUGUGGUUAACCGGUACACUAAUUUGGGUUUGGCAUUGGUAGCGAAGGGUGGAUCGAUGUUUAUCAUAGAUCAAUGGAGCGUGUGUGGCUAACCGGCACAUUGAUUAGGUGAUAGUAGCAUUGAGUGCACCAUGUACAUUCGCAUGGUUAUUCACACCUUAUUUGUGAUCCUCGGCAUCCCAGUCAUAAAUGAAGGGCAUAAUCGAGAUUAAACAUGCCAUUGAAAAGUUCAAUGAAUCUCUAAAGAUCUAGGAGUUUCAAUUCAUUUAAAACUUAAAUUUUCUUUUUCGUUUUUCAUGGUGGAAAUUGGUAAAUCGUCAUUUACCUACCUUCAAAUAUUUUGCAACUAGAUUACGACAUCCCUCUUCUAGGUUGUAGAGUAUUAUGUUGGAUCCCAGCCUUGAUGUUUCAUUUGGGUGUUACAUCAAGGAUUCUUAUCAACUUGACUUGAAUUUCUCCCGUUUUGUUGAUGUCUGAAUCUAACAAUGGUCUUCCCAAUUCCAAUGGAGCAAGUCUUCCAAAUGAAGAUGUUAUCCCAUGAUAUGAUCGAGGAACCAAAAAUCAUGCUUCACUUCCUCCACGUUCUCUAAUUAUUCUUCCUGACCCACAAGUUCGAAGGCUUGAAAAGUUCAAGCUCACUCAAGCCCUUUUGGCAAGUAAACACGAAGAUGGGAAACCUGUGUAUGCACACAUCUUAGAGAUGAAGUCACACAUUGAUAGGUUAAGGAUGAUGGGUUUCGAUAUCUCAGAGAUGUUGGCUGUUGACUGGGUUCUUCAAUCGCUUCCUGAAUCAUAUAGCGAGUUCGUUAGAGAGUACUAUAUGAUGGACCAUGACGUGACCCUCAUUGAUCUCACCUAUUUGCUUAUAGCUGCUGAAUCAACAAUGAUUUGGCGUGCUGGUUAAACAAAUUUGUCUGGUGAAUCAAACUCCCAAACUUCAAUGGGCACUAGCAACAUUGGAAGUCCAGAAAGGACUAAGUAUGAGAUUUGGCAAUUAGUCUAAACAUUUGGGACUUAGUAACAUAAGUUCUGAAUUUGUCUAAACACACAUAUGAGCUUUCUAUGGCAAAGGUGUAUAAGUUUAAGAAGCUUAGAUAAAGGCUUAUCGAAGCAUCUGGUAUUAGAAAUAUGAACUUCAUAAAUUCAAUAGGUAUUGUUUUCUGGAAGUUCAUCUGUUUUCUGAAUACAUGUCAAAGCUAGUGGGAGCAUAAUAUGAUAAUAAUCAUCAUGAUAGUGGGAGCAUAAGUGUUAUGCUUGUAUGAUUAUUAUGGCAAGUAUUGCAAAUUAGCAAUAUUAAUUAUAGAAAAACAAAGAUUCAAUUUGCAAAGUUACAUGGGUUGAAAAGUUGUUUUGCUACAAUUAAGGGAGAGAAUAUUAUACUUCGUUUCAAAAUCUAAAGCUUAGAUUGAGAAAUUUUAAUAAAUUUAGUCAAAGGAUACAUAGUGUGUUCUUAAAUUUCAAUUAUGAUUACGACAUUCCUCUUCAUAGUUCGAAUUGUGAGAACGUGACACAUAAAAUAUUAUGGCAGAAGAUUGAUAAAAUAUCAUAUCUUUAUGUAAGACAUUAUGCAUCAUGUACCAUACGCUUCGGGUAUAGGAAUGAUUGCAAAUGCUAUAAUAUUUGACAAUUCUAAAAUUUUCUAAAUGUCUAGCGCAUUAAGAGGGAAAAAGUACUAGAAUUGGUUUUGACUGAAAUAAUUAAACAACUAUCAAAGGACGAUCCAAAGUUCGCUGAGGAUUGGUCGCUUGUGAGUAGUUGGAAGUAUAGUAUUGGAUGGACCAUGUUGACACUAUUUUGAAUAAAUAAGACUCUAUUUAGAAUGGUUUUUCAUGUGGAAAAUAUGGAAACAUUUCCAUAUUGGGAGUUGAAAAUUAAGAAUUUAUGUCUAGAUUAGAAAUUUUAUGCAAAAAGGAUGUUCAAAGGAAUGUAUUUUGAGUGAGAGACAUCAUAUCUAUACAAUUGUUUUGUAACAAUUUCCGAUAGAUUAUCUUGGAAUUUCAUUAGCCGAGUCUUGGUGACUUUUGUGCUAUGACAUUACGAAAGGAUCAUUGCAUAAAAUGUUAGAAUCUAAUAUAUUCUAUUAGUGGCAAGAAUGUUGUGUUCUUACACUAAUGGUUCAAAGGAAUGUAUUUUGAGUGAGAGACAUCAUAUCUAUACAAUUGUUUUGUAACAAUUUCCGAUAGAUUAUCUUGGAAUUUCAUUAGCCGAGUCUUGGUGACUUUUGUGCUAUGACAUUACGAAAGGAUCAUUGCAUAAAAUGUUAGAAUCUAAUAUAUUCUAUUAGUGGCAAGAAUGUUGUGUUCUUACACUAAUGGUAAGGAUUGAGAAUUGUGAAAUGAGUUUCAUUGGAAAGGUUUUCAAUUGAUCUAUUUCACAAAGUAAGGAUCAUAGGUAACAUAGUGUGCAUGCUCGGAGCAUGGGACAACUAUUGUUGUAAUUCAAGUAAUAAGUUGAUUAUCCAAAACAUUAAACAAUGAAUAAUGAGUAGUCAAUAUGGUGUUUAAAUAAAAGUGUUUUAUUUACGCUCAAAAGUUUUGGGGCCAUAUAGGAUUAAGUAUUAUCGUUGUGUUUCAUUUUGCAUGUUUUGACUUCCAGAAUAACUGGGUUAUUCGAACCUCCACAGUCGGUCAUACGUUGGAAGUAGGUAUGAAGGAAGACUAUCAUGAAUCUGUUUGUAGAUUGUCUAAAGUGUUUAGACAUAGCACAAGUUUGCUGCAGAGUUCAUGAGUGCUUUGAUAACAUUAAAGUAUAGGAUUAAACCCACGCCCACUUGAAUCACUUCAUGGAUUUAUCACGGGUGAUUAUUGAGACGCUAACAUUGUAUAUUCUUGAAACUGAGACAUGUGAAUUGUUAUUUGCUGGUCGGUUGCACAUUGAUGAUAAGUAAACACACCAGUAACUUGGUGUUAUAAAACUUAUUGUUGUGUGUGAUUCGAUCAGUAAAUGCAAGCAAGCAUUUGAGUCAAAGUUUAUCCAUUCCUUUUACCCAAAGUGGGAUAAAAGCGAUAUCUGUGGGCCCCUCGAUGAUUUAGUGAUGACACCUAAGCGCUUGGCCAAGCCGGGACUAAGUUGAUGUGUUCAAUUGUAGUCUGUUGUCAGUCGUCAUAAAUCAGAUGUCGGGAAACAAUACAUAGACAUAGAGAAUGAUUUAAAUCCAUGUCUCGUGUCUACACGAUAUCUUGAGAAUGGAGGAAUAUAUAAUACCUUAUCUAAAGGACAUGCAUCUCUGAUAAGAUCAGAGUUGACAGCGGCUUUUGAAAGCUACGAUUGCUGAUCAGGUUCUGAAGUUAUGCAAAAUAGUUAUUAGACUUAUCCAAGUGGGAGACUGUUGGAUUAGUGUCUAAGUCCAUAACUAUUUUGGUAUGUACUUGACCCGAUUAUGAGCAUGGUCCUUUUGGGUUGCCUUCACCAUAGCAAUAUGUAGGAUGAAUUAAGGAGAGAAAGGUUUAAUUAUGAUUUAUUAAUAUAUUAUGAGAAUAAUAUAUUAAAGGAGAAAUCAUAUUGUUUAAUUAAUAUUAGUCAAGAAUUAAUAAAGAAUUAAUUUUGUGGCUAAAAGAGAUUAAUUAAACUUAGGGGACUGGAAUUGUAAUUAUAAGAUAAUUGCAAUUGGACUAUGGAUCAUCUUGGAAUAAUAGGUUAGACGAAUUCUAUGGGGAAGCCCGUUAGAAAUCGUCCAAGGCAUGUUCCAGAAGGGGUCCAUGGGUUGCUUAGGGCUUAAGCAGUAAAAUUAGGGUUUCCUUGUUAGAUAACCCUAAUUGCCUACCUAUUUAAAGAACCCUUGAGACCCAAAAAUGUGGCUAAGUGUUCCUUUAGGGUUUCCAGCCGUUUUUGGUCCCUCCUCUCUUCACUCCUUCAUCCAAUUGCUUAUUGGUGUUUGUGACUCCAUUAGAGAUGCAACAGUUGAGGCACUAAGCUUUCUAAAGCCAAGGAUUGAUUGUUAUGGCUAUAUAACAAUCAAAGGUAAGAUCUAAACCCUAAUUUCAGUUAUAGUUUAUUAGAUCUAGGGUUUAUAGCUUUGGAUUUUCAAUUGCAUGUUCAUUAGAAAAACUAGAUCCAAAGCUAUUAGGGUUUGCAUGUACACCAUAGGAUUGAUGUAUUACUCAAAACCAAUCACUAUGGAUCAAAAAUGGACUUAUUACCAAACCUUAACUCAAACUAGCAAAAGGAUAAGCUAGGUAUGGAAUUUUUACCUCCAAAAGUUCCCCAAGAUGAAGUAAAUGUAGGAUCUAGAAGCUCAACCACGUCCAAGACUUGAUUACCAUCUUCUCCUUCUUGCAAACACACUAAAAUGACCACCAAAAUCACUUUUAAGCUCAAGAAUCACAAUCUCUUGCAAACUAGGGUUUAGGGACGAUACGAGGCAAUGGAGGUUGUUUAGGGUUAGGUCCAAAUGACAUAAGAGUGCUUAAAUAGGGUACAUGCCCUAAAAUUAGGGUUUUUGUCUUAGACCAUGUAUGCCCCUAUGUACGACCUAGUACACCCCACGUAUGUCGUGCAUGACCGCGUCCAAACCAAUCUAGUACGCUAAGCGUACACAUAUGUACGCCCAACAUACGUAAGGACCUCCUUUGCAAAUAAAUUCCAUUCUAAGGGUUAAAAGGGUAAAUACCUACAUUCUGAAUGUUACAUGAAAUAUAAAAGAUACGAAAGAUUGUGAAAAUACAGUUGGGAAUAUGUAUCAAUAUGACUUUCAAAGUAGAAUGUUAUUAUAAAGCAAUAAAUGAGACUUUAAAAAUAUUGUAAUAAAUAGUACAAAUUUGAGAUUAUAUUAUAUUAUAAAAAUAGAAGGAUAAUUGAAAUUUUGUUAAAUACUCCUUAAAAUCAUGAUAUUUAAUAAGUUAGAUUUUAUAAAAUAUUUAAUAAAAUAAUUUAUUUACUAACAGAAAUUUAAAAUUUAAAUAUAAUUAUAAUCUAUUAUUUAAAAGAAAACAAAUCACUUUUCUUUGUUCAAUUUUUAAAAAAUCACUUUUUUUAAUUCAAAUAACAUUUUAAUGUGACGACGAUAAAAAAAAUGUGAAUUAAAAUAAGAGUUAAUUUGUGUUUUAUCCAUUCGUGUCUCAUCAUUUAUGCAAAUACAAAAGUAUUAAUUGAACUAAAAUCAUGGCUAAAACCAAGGGAUAACAAUCUAUUAAAUUUACUUUAAAAUUUAAAAAAUGGAUUAAUGGAGUUAAAUAAAACCUGAAUAAUUAAAAAGAAAUUCUAUUAGGAUGUAAUGUGUCACCUUAUAAAUAAAAUUAAAUAUUAAAUAUAAACGCUAAUNUUUCAAAAUUUAAAUUUACAUUUUCUAAUUAUAUGUUAAACUUGAAGUUAUAAUAACUUUAAAAAAUUUGAUAUAUCUCUUAAUUAAUAAUUUAUUUAAAGUGACUUAUUUAAAAUAAUUGAUUAAUAAUUAUAAAUUUUUAUUAUAAAAGUUUAAUUAAUUUUAUAACCGUGGUUCCCACGGGUUAUAAACUAGUACACUAAUAAAUAAAUAAAUAAUUGUCACAUGUCAAUCUCUCAUGAGUUUUGACACUUGUUAUUUUAUGAUAUUUUUGAAUUAAAUAAUAUCCACAUAUCAAGUUUUGUUUUUUUCUUUUUUAAGUUAAAAGGCCAAAUAAUACUUCUAUUUAUAAAUAUGAUGUAUUAAAUAUAAUGAAUGUUAUAUUAAAUUGUAAUAAAUAUUUUUUCCAUACUUAAUUUUAAUUUAAAUCAACUCAUAUAGUAUACGAGUCUUACAUCUAGUAUAUAUAUAUAUAUAUAUAUAUAUAUAUAUAUAUGUAGUAAUAAACAUGUGUGAGUGUGUUAAAUAAUAAAUCGUUAAGUAUAUUAUACGUAUUAAUCACCGAGUUGAUCGGGUUUACAAUACUACUCAAUUCGGUAAGGGGCCGAUCAUAUUAUUUGUGAAACACAUUAUAANUAUAUAUAUAUAUCCGUGAAAACCACGAUUGAAAAAUAAUAACAUUAUUGAUGGGUAGACUCCACAAUUAAAAUAAUUCACAUUAAAUCCAAAUAUUUUGUCCUUGUUACAUGUUCCAACUUCCAAUUAGACCUAGAAAAACAUGACACGACACGAGAACCCGACACAAACCCAACACGAAAUUAGCGGCUUAGGGUCAGAGAUUUCGUCCCGUUUAUGUAAACGAGUUGACACGACACGACAUGAUAAUUAAACAGGUAGGGUUAGGGUCAAGACUUUCAACUCGAAUAUGAUCCGUUUAAUUAUAUAUUAUUUAUUAUAAAUUUCAUAUUUUUAUAAAUAUAUUAUAUGUUAUAGACUUAUAGUGGGUCUAACUUAAAAAUUAGAAGUAAUAUUCAAAUUUUCAAAGUUACUUAAUUUUAAUCAUCCUUACCACUUAUCCCUUUGCUCCCCAACUUUAAAUACUUUCAUUUUUCCUUCUAAACUUACUAUAAAUUUUGUCAUUCCAUCUCAUUACUACAGUGUUUCACUUUUUCCUUUUUGACUCCUCAACUCCUACUUUCCAACCUUUAAAAUAUUUCAACCAACAUGACACAAUAUAUUUACAAGGUCUAAACUUUUACCCGAAACCCAAUGUGAAAAUAAAUGAGUUGACACGGCACUACACGACACGACAAGUCGAUAAUUACCUGGGUCGGUUUAGUGUCAAACUCUUUUAACCCGUUUAAUGUCUUAACACUACACGACACGUUUGUCAAGUGUAGUACACAGAAGAUAUAGAUUGAAUAGCUUGAUAUAGCAUUAAGUAUUCAAAAAUUAAUGAAAUUGAAUUAUGGAAAGUUUCAUAACUAUUUUUUAUAUGAGAAAUUAGACUAUAUUUUUUGUUCACAACUUUUUAUUCUAUCUUAAUUUGAAAAUAGUUUAUGUGUCCAAGAGAAAGGACGUUUACUUUGAGAAAGAUGUAUAAAUGAAACUUAACCAUGACAUAUUCAGAAUUUGAAAUGACAUUGACGUAUGGAAUAAAAACCAAACAAAAGAAAACCAUAGGCAAACACUAUCACGUCCAUACACGUGUACGGUAGAAAUCUCUUCUUUAGUCUAUAAAUAGAACCUCAUGAUCAAACUAAAAGAUCACCAAGCUUUCAGUGAAUUCAAUCAAGAACACAAUCUAGUACUCACCGAAUCAACCUCAAAACCUUCGAAUCAUGUCAAGCGGAAAGUGCAGCUGUGGCUCAAACUGCUCAUGCGGCAGCGGUUGCAACUGCAACUCGUAAUUCUUUUUCCUCUUCUUCUUUUAAGUUUUAACAAAUCAACUAGUUUUUAAUUCUCAAAAUCAUUUCAUUUAUAAUUAUCAAUUUUCUGAUCGACAUGUUCUUAUUUUCUGGCAGAUGCGGCGUUGAGACGUCGACCACCGCCACCAUCAUCGUUGCUGGUGUUGCACCUAAGAUGACGUAUGUAUUUUUACUGCUUUCGAUGCGUACAACAAUUGUAUUAAUUAAUUUAAUUAACUGUUAGUAUUAUUUAAAGUAAUUCAUAGAUUUUAUACAAAAAUUAACUUUGUAAAUAUGCAGAUUUGCUGAGGGAACUGAGACCAGCUUUGUUGCCGAAAGUGGAAACGGGUGCAAGUGUGGAUCAAGCUGCACCUGCGAUCCAUGCAACUGUUAAGCACAAAAUAUAU
rnacentral:lncRNA from 1 species